rnacentral:rRNA from 1 species
UACGAAGGGGGCUAGCGUUGCUCGGAAUGACUGGGCGUAAAGGGCGCGUAGGCGGUUCGUACAGUCAGACGUGAAAUUCCUGGGCUUAACCUGGGGGCUGCAUUUGAUACGUGUGGGCUUGAGUGCGGAAGAGGGUCGUGGAAUUCCCAGUGUAGAGGUGAAAUUCGUAGAUAUUGGGAAGAACACCGGUGGCGAAGGCGGCGACCUGGUCCGUGACUGACGCUGAGGCGCGAAAGCGUGGGGAGCAAACAGGAUUAGAAACCCUGGG